UGGGGGAUAUUGCACAAUGGGGGAAACCCGUGAUGCAGCAACGCCGCGUGAAGGAAGAAGGUCUUCGGAUUGUAAACUUUGUCCUUGGUGAAGAUAAUGACGGUAGCCAAGGAGGAAGCUCCGGCUAACUACGUGCC
rnacentral:rRNA from 1 species